rnacentral:rRNA from 1 species
CAGCAGCCGCGGUAAAACGGAGGGUGCAAGCGUUAAUCGGAAUUACUGGGCGUAAAGCGCACGCAGGCGGUCUGUCAAGUCAGAUGUGAAAUCCCCGGGCUUAACCUGGGAACUGCAUUUGAAACUGGCAGGCUAGAGUCUUGUAGAGGGGGGUAGAAUUCCAGGUGUAGCGGUGAAAUGCGUAGAGAUCUGGAGGAAUACCGGUGGCGAAGGCGGCCCCCUGGACAAAGACUGACGCUCAGGUGCGAAAGCGUGGGGAGCAAACAGGAUUAGAUACCCCUGUAGUCCCUGUCUCUUAUAC